GUUCAAAUUGUUACUGGCGUCACUGCUUCUACGUGAACACUCACCGCUAAUAAGGAAUUGACUAUUCAUAAGGAGAGCGUGAUUGCCUUCAUAAUCCCAUCCCUUUCUAUCUUUCCUGCAUUUAAACAAAAUGUGAAGACCAUUCCCAUGGUCCGAUUAACUUAAAAAAACCCCAAAACUACAGAGACAAUUCCGGGCUCCUACUGCUUCCUUUGAUACCCAUGUGUGUUAAAAUCAGGUUUUCAUUGGCAGUAAAAAUUCACAAGAAACAGUUUCCUCUAAAGAAACAAAGUGCAUCUCAUUCAAAUUAAGGUUUUGAUUGACAUAUUUUUUGUGCCAAAAUAAAUAUACUUAGCUAGUGGUGUUAUGUAUUGAGGUCUGCAGUAGCACUUUUGUUGAUGCUUACAGUAUAUUGCAUUUACUGUCACAUGUGCCACUAAGAGAACCAUUUUCCCUGGUAUUUAGUGUAGUCACGAUGCAAUGUGGCUCCCAGUUAAGAACUGCAGAUAAACAGAAAAUGCUCUAGGGGACCCUGUGUGGUUUUGCCUCCUCCCUAAGCAUGCUGAGCUCUGCUACGUUAAAAUUUUAACAUCUUCUGAUUGCUAAAGCAAUACCAUAAUGGUGUUUGGAACAUGUUUAUAUGUGCAAGUUGAAUAUCUAAGGCCGGUAAUCUGGUAAUGACAACGAGAAAGCAGUAGAAUGGACAGUAUCAUUCCAAACUGGCUAAAUCAAAAUAUGAGGGUAUUAGGAAUUACGUUAGCUAUACAUAAUGAGAUAUGGCAAGGACCUAGGUGUAACUGGCCAAAUUUUUUUAUUUUUUUUCUACAGUACAACGCGUAUGCUGAACAGCUGACAGAGUUUGUCUUGUUAUCAACUUUCCUAUUACGGACUGCCUACAGCCUCACAAGAGCCUUUGAAAGGAGCUAUCCAGCUCUGGAUCUGCUUACAAAUGGACAUAAAACUCCUUUGAAAUGGGUGCAGGAAUAGGCUUCUUGCUGUUGCUUGUUCACACAAAACCAUUGAAGGUUUCCAAUGAGCCUGUCACACCUGAGAUUGAGUAGUAAUGGCUGAUCAGGGGUAUCUCAAACCACAGCUGAGCUUAUCAUCUGCUGUGUUUCCUGGAAGACCCAGAGAUGAAGAGGUUGGACACUGGAAAACAUUUUGCCCAGGUGAACAAUUUGAGCAACAAUCCAAGCAACAACAGUAAUGACUCAAAGGCAAGCUAUGUCUGUCUUUUCAUCUCUGUAUGUAAGAAGGGCAGCUCAGGCUUCCACCACCCAUGUCGACCCCUUGAAGACUGUUCCUCACUCCCAAACUGAGAAGCUCUUGAACUAGCAAGAAAUGAAAUGCACUGAAACCAAAGAAGAAAUGGAGAAAAACAUAUUUUACACAGUAAUUUAUACACUUUAAAUACAUUUUUAUUAAAACAUAUGCUUUUAAUGACUUGUAGAAAUCCACAACCUUGGAGCCAUCAGAAGCUGGUGACUUCCUUCAAUAAUGUUGAAGGAAGAAAAGGUACAUUCUGCUUUAGCAGAAUUUCUUCUUACUUUUAAGAUUAACUGGUUGGAUUUAGUAAGUUUCUUUGAACUUGACAAGAUUCUUCACCUUGUCCCUUUUAAAGUAUGCUUUAAAGAAAACUACUUUCACAAACAGACAGUAAUCACAGAUAAAGGUUCAGCAUGCAGCAAAGUGAAGUACAGGAAAACCACAAGGAACAAACAGGUGUUACAAAGAUUGUGCUUUUAAGAAACUACCCACAGAGACAACAGUGAGUGCAGAUGAAAGACUGCUUGAAACUGAACAAGAGCUAAAAUGUCAGGGUUGCAAUAGUUUUAGGUCACCUAACAUCCAGCUAGAGUUUAAAGUUCACAUUCAGUAUAAAUGAGACAGUGUGCCUGUGAUUAUGCAGAGAGACAAGUUGCAGCACAACACCUGAACUCUCAGAGAAAGGCUGCUGAGCUGAUAGCAGGGUUGGCAUGACUGACUCACUCAGGAAUUAGGCACCAGAUUUGAAAGUCUUGUGUUCAUACACUGGAUGGUCUGCUCUGCAAGAUGAGUGGAGCUGGAGGGUUGAUAUCUGUAUCUGUGAAGAUAGAAGGAAAACUUCUCUACCUCUGGCAAUAUUGAGCAACAGCACCAAUUAAACUUUUGCCUUUUUAGGUCUGUUGCCAGCUUCUUCACCCAACAGUUCCGCUGUCACUGCAACACUCAGAAUCCCUCUCUGUGAGUCUCUCUCUCUCUCUGUAUGAGAGUGAGACAGACUCAGAAAUCGAGACUGUCAUACUCAGAGAAAGGCCACUAGCAUUUCACAUCCAUUUCUUUCAUUUGCUUGCUUUUCCAUAAGAAAACAGCAGAGUGCACCAGCAGCUAAGUUUAUUUCAAGGCUUACCCCUUAGUUACUUAAUACAUACAUUACACUUUAAGGACAUUUUGUAUAUGCCCUUUAUCACAGGAUUCUUAGCACAUACAUAUUUGUUAUAUGCCUUUAUCACAGGAUUCUUAGCACAUACAUAUUUGUUUAUUGGAGUCAGAAUUUGUCCUGUAUAGUCUCCAAUCCAUUUUUUACUUAAAUCUACAAGAAUAUAUGUGGGAUCUUUAUAAAAAGAGGUCUUUCUCGGGUUUAACACACAUGAUGAUUUGGGUAUUCUUGGCUUUGUGGAU